GGAGACGUAGCGAAGUGGUCAUAACGCGGCGCACUCGAAAUGCGUUUAUCGGCUUAACACCGGUACAAGGGUUCGAAUCCCUUCGUCUCCG
rnacentral:tRNA from 1 species